rnacentral:rRNA from 1 species
AGUUGGAUAACUGAGGUAAUUCUUGAGCUAAUACACGCUAUUUAUACCACAUUAGUGGUGCGUUUAUUUGAUUAAACCAUUUUUAUAUUGGUUGACUCAAAAUAUCCUCGCUGAUUUUGUUACUAAAACAUACCGUAUGUGUAUCUGGUUUAUCAACUUUCGAUGGUAGGGUAUUGGCCUACCAUGGUUGUGACGGAUAACGGAGAAUUAGGGUUCGACUCCGGAGAGGGAGCCUGAGAAACGGCUACCACAUCCAAGGAAGGCAGCAGGCGCGAAAAUUACCCAAUUUUAGUUAAAAGAGGUAGUGACGAAAAAUGACAACCAAAUAUUAUUAUUAAUAUUUGGAUUGAAAAUCUUCAAGUAUAAAUAACU